rnacentral:rRNA from 1 species
GACGAACGCUGGCGGCGUGCUUAACACAUGCAAGUCGAACGGAAAGGCCCCUUUGGGGGUACUCGAGUGGCGAACGGGUGCGUAACACGUGAGUAACCUGCCCUUGACUUCGGGAUAACUUCAGGAAACUGGGGCUAAUACCGGAUAGGAAUCCUUGCUGCAUGGUGGGGGUUGGAAAGCUUCGGCGGUUUUGGCUGGAUCUGCGGCUUAUCAGCGUGUUGGUGGGGUAAUGGCUUACCAAGCCUUUGACGGGUAGCCGGACUGAGAGGGCGACCGGCCACAUUGGGACUGAGAGACGGCCCCGACUCCUACGGGAGGCAGCAGGGGGGAAGAUUGCACGAUGGGCGGAAGCCGGAUGCAGCAACUCCGCGGGCGGGAUGACGGCCUUAGGGUUGUAAACCGCUUUCAGCAGGGGCGGAGCUUGUGGUGACGGUACCUGCUGAAGAAGCACCGGCUAACUACGUG